rnacentral:rRNA from 1 species
GUGUUUUGAAUGGAAGGGCCAUCGUUCAACGAUUAAAAGGUACUCCGGGGAUACCAGGCUGAUCCCGCCCAAGAGUUCAUAUCGACGGCGGUGUUUGGCACCUCGAUGUCGGCUCAUCACAUCCUGGGGCUGAAGUAGGUCCCAAGGGUAUGGCUGUUCGCCAUUUAAAGUGGUACGCGAGCUGGUUUUAGAACGUCGUGAGACAGUUCGGUCCCUAUCUGCCGUGGGCGUAGGAGAAUUGGUUGGGGCUGCUCCUAGUACGAGAGGACCGGAGUGGACGCACCACUGGUGUUCCGGUUGUGUCGCCAGACGCAUUGCCGGGUAGCUAAGUGCGGAAGAGAUAAGUGCUGAAAGCAUCUAAGCACGAAACUUGCCAAGAGAUGAGUUCUCCCAAUCUAAGAGAUAGUAAGGGUUGUUGUAGACUACGACGUAGAUAGGUCUGGUGUGUAAGUGUAGUGAUACAUUGAGCUAACAGAUACUAAUUGCCCGAGAGGCUUAACU